rnacentral:tRNA from 4 species
AAUGGCGGAAGUGAAAAUCUUUCCCUCUUGA